GGGCAGGUACCUAAGUGGCUAAAAGGGACAGACUGUAAAUCUGUUGCGCCUGCGCUUCGGGGGUUCGAAUCCCUCCCUGCCCACCA
rnacentral:tRNA from 1 species